rnacentral:rRNA from 1 species
GUGGGGAAUUUUGGACAAUGGGCGCAAGCCUGAUCCAGCAAUGCCGCGUGCAGGAAGAAGGCCUUCGGGUUGUAAACUGCUUUUGUACGGAACGAAACGGUCCGGGUUAAUACCCUGGGCUAAUGACGGUACCGUAAGAAUAAGCACCGGCUAACUACGUGCCAGCAGCCGCGGUAAUACGUAGGGUGCAAGCGUUAAUCGGAAUUACUGGGCGUAAAGCGUGCGCAGGCGGUUUUGUAAGACAGGCGUGAAAUCCCCGGGCUCAACCGGGGAAUUGCGCUUGUGACUGCAAGGCUGGAGUGCGGCAGAGGGGGAUGGAAUUCCGCGUGUAGCAGUGAAAUGCGUAGAUAUGCGGAGGAACACCGAUGGCGAAGGCAAUCCCCUGGGCCUGCACUGACGCUCAUGCACGAAAGCGUGGGGAGCAAACAGGAUUAGAAACCCCGGUAGUCC